rnacentral:tRNA from 1 species
AUUUUCUGAGUAUACACAGUACAGUUAACUUCCAAUUAACGGGAUCUGGUAAAAAUCCAGAAGAAAAUA